rnacentral:lncRNA from 1 species
AACUUCCAGAAGCAAAUUAUCAUUUUAAUUCUCUUGCUUCCCUAUUUUCUUGUCAAGGUUAAAAGAAUGGAGUGUACUGGAGUCAGGAAAGCUCAGUGUCUGUUGGAGGUGAAGUCACCAGCAUUGCAUUUCUCCACCAGUCACAACUGAUAAGUUCAAAACCACAUCAGCAACCAGAACAGCAGAACUGGCAUCAGCCUGUUUCAGCUGCUUCCCCCAAUGCUUGAAGGGAAGCAAGCUGCACUGAAUGCCUGCUUGAAGGAUGGGCAGAGCUGAGGGUCAGCACCAACUAGCCAUGGAAAUGUAAAAUGCCAGCCUGAGAGGGUAGGAAGGAACCAGACCUGGGCCUCACACCACUAAAGGCAGGUUUCCAGAGGUGCAAGCCACAGAGACCUGGUACACUCUGCUGAUUCAGUGCAAGUGGAGGCUAAUCCUGAGUUAAGUACACAAAGCUUUACAGAUGUUGCAGUGAGAAUUUUCUGAUUGAUUUUAAUGGUAUCCACUGUCACAUUUCUGAAACCACUGUUACCCUGCAAAUAAUCAAACCCAUGGAGUUUCUGUCUCUGUGAUAGAUUGAGACUCACAAAAUAUAUUUGUACUGCUGCUAAAAAUGCUCUUAGUGCUUACUUAUGCAUCUCAAUGAAAAGUAAGUGCUCACCCUGUAGGCAGAAGUUUUUGAGAGUGUUCAGGGCAUGGAAACUCUGCUGCCUCCCUCUUACAGGGUGGAUCUGUGCAGUGACCAACUCGUGCCCCUGCAGAGGUGGCACCGGCGUCUCAGGUCCCCUGUGCUGAAUGAGGCUCCUCCCUGCUGUCCCCAGGAGCCCCAGACUGUCCCUUCCUGGCCUUCCAGGGCUUCUCCUUCGGCAUUCUGCUUCUGCUGGAGUAACUUCCCUUCAGAAAGGGAACAUGGAACAGCCUUUUGGUCUGUGACUUUCUCUGUCAUAAGAGGCAUCUUGCUUCCCUUAAGCAUGCGAUGGGAUUUGACAUCAGUGCUGUUUCUCCAUGCUGAUACUGUGAUUAAACUCCCAAAUUUGAGCAGGUACUUGAACAUGCCAAGCAAAUCCUUCCCCUUUUCUAGUCUUCCCCAACCAAAGGCCACUUUCAUGCCCACUUCCCUGCAACACCUUUCGUAUGCUGAGGAAGAAAGAACCCUGGAGAGAAGACAUGGGAACCUGUGGUAAUGUGCAUUUUCUGGGACCGCUCGCUUUGGUGCAAAAUUAAAAGUCUGUGCUCUUUUUUUUUCUAAAAUUUCCUCUACAUGUUAGAUCUUGUCAAGGAGAUAAGGGGGUCUGUGAAUUCCUGCUUUCUUCUGUGUUUAUUCUGGCAGGAUGAGCUAUGCAAAAGCAAGCACUCUGUCUGUAGUGUGCAUACUGACAGUAUCAUUGUAGAUGGAGACUGUGCUCUCUCUCUCUCAGUGAUUAUAAUUGUGCUAAAAAAUUAUACCUGAUAAAUUAUCCUGAAAGGUUAUUGUGUAACCAUAUAUUCCAAACAGUUUUUUAAAAACAUUUUGCACUUGGCACAAACAUUUGUUCAAAGUGAGUAGGAACUGAAAGCAAACAAGCAAAGACUUUAGGGUCUUGGAGUAACUAGCAUGCCUAUCAUCUAAAAGUGACUGUCAUGUCACACAUCUGCUUUGUGAUAUGUCACUGCCUUUCUAUAACAUGCCACUUCCUAAGCACUGUGCUGAGUGACAGUCACUCACCUCACUGUCAUGCACAGUCUUGUAGUACUGAAACCUUCUCAGGCAAUGGUUAAAAUUUGAAAUUUGCUCCGUGUUUCCACAGUGAGUGGUGAAAGAGCAGGAAGAAAAGUAUUAAAGGAAAAAUGAGAAUAAACUCCCACUUACUGGUUGCUUUCUCUUACCA